CCGGUAGGAGCCUCUGGAAAAGGGCAAAGCCCCGGCGGGGUUUUUGAACCCAGUCUGCUGGCCCCUGCGGGCAUAUAGAAGGGCACUAGUUGACUCUGGGUACCGUAGUCCCUGUAAUAGGGCUGCAGCUCAACAGUGAGUUUUAACUGUGAUGAGGGAAGCUGAUUAAGCCCUCCAAGGGGGCUCGUCGAAAGCCAAGAAGGGGUUUCGACCCCUUGGAGGGCAAGUGGGUAUUGGAAGACGGCUGCAGACGGCUGGAGCAGCUGCUCCGAUCAAGGGAGCCCUCUUGAUCGUAAUGCUUGUUUUGAUUUUCAUCUUUCUUUUGUGGAUCAUCUGAGGGACGGGUGGAUCCAUGGGCGGACCAGAUAGUCGGCUACCAUCCUGGUGGAACGGGUGAGGGUGUAGGGGUGGCGGAGCCCUCAGAAACUUCAGGACCCACGCGAGGCCAGUGAGACUCAUAAUUGGACUGCGCGUGUCAGACAACUGAACCAACUCCGUUAAUAUCAAAGUCGUGGCAGGUGAAGGAGACGCGUGUGACACCCCAAUCAAAGAAAUGCUGCCCAACCUGUUCCUGGAUUUACGAACUAGUUACACUCCCAGUAGCAGGCUCCUACUUGCUUCACAGUUGGCAGAUGGGAAGUUUGGAAGUACAUGCCUGAGAAGUGUUUGAGAAGCUGAGGCACAGGACAUCAGGAUUUCCUCAAAACAAGGGCCCUACCUCUUCAAUUGCAUCUGUGAUCAAUGAUGAAUCCAAACAUCCCAGGCAAAGCUCUUUCUUUUGGAGAACUUCAUGUGAACUUGACUGGAGGAUGGAAGACAAACCCAAUCAGACCCAAGGGCUUCCCAGAAAGCAAUGGACUUUGUCAGAUUCCUGAGUUCAUUCCUCCACUGUGGUAGUAGCCCAGGCCUCCUUGUUCCUCAGCCAUCAGAAGGAAAGACUGUAAAAAGCAACUGAGAUGUUAUAAUCCUUGCCCACUGUGCUUGAUAGAGUCAGGGAGAUAUGGUCCCCAAGUAACUGCCACCAUACCGUAAGAUGGACUUCUCCGAUAGAGGCUCUAGAGACAGUUUUGUCUCCUGACGGGACAGACUGCCGAGACACUAAUGAGCAGCAUCCUUGUGGUGUCCUGUCUGACUUGUCCCUUCAUCUCAAAACUGCAUGUGCUUUGUGGAGCAUGAACCAAUAACAGGUUUCCAAAGUGUUCAUCUAACAUUAAGACCAAAGUCAUUCUGCCUUACAGACCUCAUGUAGGUCACCAGAUCUGACGGAGGUGGGGGUGGGGGUGGAGGGAGCAGGAUAUAUUCCCUCCACAGCGUAACAAAGCACCCUGCCGCUAUGAUGUAGACACACCCUGAAUGAUCAGAAGUGGAAUAUGUCUGGACAGUCACUUGAAGAAAGGACAACAAUGCACUAACGGUGAUUCUUCAAGAUACGCUGUCCCAUCUAUUUUACAUCCUGCUUUCCUGUUAGCCCAGGGUUCCUGGCUCCCUGCAUUCUUUUUAACAUGAGAAAUGAACAGUGAUUGCAGAUAUCUCGCCCUUUUUGCCCUUGGCUACAAGGUGCUGGAGGUCAGACCUAGCUCCAAUGACUUCUGCUAUUCAAGAAGAUUAUGACUUGAUUGCAUGGGGACACGUGCAUCAGAAGUGAACAUGUGGGCAGCACAUCUUACAGAGCCACAGUCUUGAUAGGGUAAUACAUUAGGAUGUUUUGGUCAGUACACAACCAGCUUU
rnacentral:lncRNA from 1 species